GCAAACUUGGUCAUUUAGAGGAAGUAAAAGUCGUAACAAGGUUUCCGUAGGUGAGUAAACCAUGUUCUUUCCACGAUUAAGGGUUCCGUUCGUGGGCUAACUGUUCGAUUCUAGGUGAACCUGCGGAAGGAUCAUUACCGAGUGCGGGUUCUCGCGAGCCCAAACUUUCAACCCUGUGUAGGUCCUUGCUGUUGCUUUGGCGGGACGGGUACUCUUCCCCACCGGCCUCGGCGGGUGAGUUCCCGCCAGAGGUCUUUCAAAACGCUCCAUGGAAAAAGGUGUCUGAAGUCCCUCGAAUGAUGUAAACAAAAAACUUUCAACAACGGAUCUCUUGGUUCCGGCAUCGAUGAAGAACGCAGC
rnacentral:misc_RNA from 1 species